UCACAUAUUCUAAACUGGUGAGCUUUAAUAGUACAUUUAUAGAUUCACAAAGGCCAUAAAAUCAAAUAUGAUAAAAGACUUAUUGGUUCUCACCAUGGUUAGCAGGUUUCUGGAAUAUAGAAUGCUACGUGCUUCUGUUUCUAUAGUAAGAUACAAUGACCACUUAUUGACCUGUUCCAUGACCAUUCUAGGUUCCUAUUCAGGCCCGGCCCAACACGGCACGCUGACCACGCCCCCGCGUUGGGUGCCACCUUCCCAGGGGCGCUAUUGAGCCCCUGGGAGGCGGGGCCACACCUGGCGGAGGCGGGGCCGCGUGACGCGGGAGGCGGGGCGUGCCCUGGUGCAGUCUGGCUGGGAGGCAGGGUUGCACAAUGCGGGGGGCGUGACCAGGUUUGGCUGGCUUGUUCUCCAUGGAGGAAACUCGGGAGCCAUGCAGGAAGAGGAGAAGAAGGAGGCGGCGGAGGGGAGAGGCGAGGGCGGUCUGAAGAACCAGCACCGGUCCCCCCACUCCAACCGGGUCUUGGAAGGGCUUCGGGUCCAGGGCGCUGUGUGGGCGAGCCCCAUGUGUGCUUAUAUUCUGCUUUGAAGAGCAGCUUUUGCUGAACUUGUUAUGGUUUGGAAUAAUCCUACAACUUGAAUGGAAAAACCACCAGUAAUUGAAUUAGGGACUGGGGUCUCACUUUUUGAAGCAAACACAGCUAAGAUUUUAUGAGAAGAUGAAAAGAUAAUUAUUUGUCCAGUCUGAGUAAAACUUGGUGAUGGUUGUUUUCAUUUUACUUCAUUUUAGUUUUUAAAAAUCUGUUUUGAAAGGCUUUCCUACUGCAGCUUCUCAUUUCAUCUCAUCCCAAGAGGUUUAACCAAGUUCAGUAAAAUGUGUGAUGGAACCAAAUAAAAUGCCUACCCCUCUUCCUGUAACACAGUCA